CCUCCGUGGCAAGGUAACGCCCCAGGCCACGCCCUUGAGUUCCCACCCUCCGGCCAAAGGUCGGCACCUUCUGUUCUGGGGUGUCUGGGCCAAUGGGCGAAAGGAGCAGAAGUGAGUGCAGCCUCUAAGUGCCCGGGCUUCUUACAGUGUCUUAUGGGAAAUCAAGGAUAGUAAGUAGCAGUCACGGCCUGAGAAGAGUUUUGAAUCACAAUGGACCUGUACAAGUGCCUCAGCUAUCAGAGGACAAGACACCAGAGUCCCAGUGGGAGGUAUCUGCCUUGCAGGCAGUAGGCAGUCACCUUCGGACUGGCUUUGAAUCUGCUGCAAGAACUCCAGACAGACCUGGCCUAGAGGGAGCUGGCGCAGACUUGUGCAGGACUUUGAAGCAGCUAACUUCAAGGGCUCUCCCCUUGGGCUACAGCACUGCAGUGCAACUUAGAAUACUGAAAGUUGUCUAUGAGUUCUCUGCUUCCCCAGAAGCACCUACCCUAGAGGUCAGCCAAGGACACAGGACACCUGCUGGAGUGCUUCAAGCCAUUCUCACUGAAUUGGAAUCUCAGGAGUCAGCUAGCACAAGCCAGGGUGGGAAAGGCAGCCUUCUCCCUACAAAUCCCUGCAAAGUUGUUUCCUAGGAGCUGAGGCAAAUCUCUAGACAAUGUGUCAGGGACAAAGAAAGCCAAAGGAACAAAUUCAGUCUCCCUUGGGAAUCCUAACUGUUUAAAUGGAAGAUUGGAAAGCUGCUAAAGACACAUUUUCUGUAUCUGCCACCAACUACUGAGUGGCCCAUGUGUCACUUUCUUAAAAAAUAUUUUUGGUACCAGGGAUUGAAUGCUCAACCACAUGCUUGCAAGGCAGGUGCUUAUGCUGCAGAGCUAAAUCCCCAGCCAUGUGUCACUUUUCCUGGAGUAAACAAAGCCCCCAUCUUUCAAUAAACUCAUGACAUUUGGAA